UCUUUUGCAUUUUGAAGUGUAUGACUUUGAAACUUAACAAUGUUUCGAAAUGUAUUACUUUGAAUAUUAAAUAUUUCUUACGUUUAUGAUUAUGUAAUUAUCUGCCGCACCCCCAAAUGCAAAAUCCUGGAUCCGCCACUGUCGGCCGGCAACCGCUCCCCACCUCAUUUCUUACGUCACCACCACGUUACCUCCUCUCCUUCCUCUCCCUCCCCUCCCACUUCCGUCAGCUGCCUUUCCUAUUGCCGCCGCCUUCUUUGUCUCUUCAAAUCCUGC
rnacentral:lncRNA from 1 species